rnacentral:rRNA from 1 species
UACGGAGGGUGCAAGCGUUGUUCGGAAUUACUGGGCGUAAAGGGCGUGUAGGCGGUUGUGUAAGUCAGACGUGAAAUCCUUCGGCUCAACUGAAGAACUGCGUCUGAUACUGCAUGACUAGAGUGCAGAAGAGGGAAACGGAAUUCCUGGUGUAGAGGUGAAAUUCGUAGAUAUCAGGAGGAACACCGGUGGCGAAGGCGGUUUCCUGGUCUGACACUGACGCUGAGGCGCGAAAGCGUGGGGAGCAAACAGG